rnacentral:sRNA from 1 species
AUUAGACCUCUGCAGACUGCAGACUUUCAACUGCAGACUGGGAGGUUACUAAGUCCUUAGCAGCUGAGUACAGAACACGAUGGAAAUGAAAACAUGGUACAACAGAGGUUACAGCCCUCUCCUGACCUGAUAAACUUCAUGAUGGAGCUAAAGAUGGUUUGGGAAGUUUCUCUGAAUCACAAGCAGAACUGUAUGUGCUGUCUCCUCCUGUCUGGAUCUACUCACUACUUGCUAAAGAGAAGAAUUUUGGUUUGGGAUAAAUUUAUGUGGAUCUUCGCUUUGGUGCCAUAAAGGUGGUAUCAGCCUGACCAUAAAGGACCCCCGAUGGGUGGGUGCCUGGUGGCUGGGUUUCCUCAUCGCUGCCGGUGCAGUGGCCCUGGCUGCCAUCCCCUACUUCUUCUUCCCCAAGGAAAUGCCCAAGGAAAAACGUGAGCUUCAGUUUCGGCGAAAGGUCUUAGCAGUCACAGACUCACCUGCCAGGAAGGGCAAGGACUCUCCCUCUAAGCAGAGCCCUGGGGAGUCCACGAAGAAGCAGGAUGGCCUAGUCCAGAUUGCACCAAACCUGACUGUGAUCCAGUUCAU